rnacentral:rRNA from 1 species
AUUUUAAUGUAUUGUUAUUUUAUAGAGUUAGUUAAUAUUUUCAAAAAUUAAUAAAAUCAAUAUAAAAGUAUUUAUUAAUAAAAUUUUUUUAAGGCUAUAGUCAAUAAGUACUGAAUAGGAAAUAAUAUUAAAUAGUUUAAAAGAUUUAAGUAAACUUUAAAAGUUGUACCUUGUGUAUCAGGGAUAAUCAAAUUACUUCAGGUAUAGCUGUAAUUCCCGAAUUAAGGAUAGCUAAUAUUUUAAAUUAGUUUUUGUAAUAUAAAAAUUUAAAAUUUAAUAUUAAAGAUGAAACGUCAGACGAGCCUUAUAUUAUCUGGUUCUUUAAGAAUAAAAUAUAAUUUGAGUAUUAAGUAUUAAUUUAUUUAAUAGUAAAGGGUAGGAGGGAUUAGCUUCUUAUCACUAAAAAAAUCAAAUAACAGAUUAAAUGUAAAGUAAUCUUUCUAGGCUUAAGAGUAGCCAUGUUAAUAAAGUGUUUUAAUUUAGAUUUAUUUUUAAAACAGUUUAUAUAAUCUUUAUUAAGUAUUAAAGCAUCAACGAAAAUAAAAAACAUUAAGAGAUAAUGAUUAUAUUAGUAAAGUAUAUUGUAAAAAUAAAAUAAUAGAAUAGGGUAGUGUAAGUGUAAUAAAUUCUUGAAAUAUAAAAGGAACUCGGCAAAUAUUCUUCUUGCCUGUUUAUCAAAAACAUGGCUAUUAUGAGAUUAUUUAUAGUCUAGCCUGCUCACUGAUAAAAAUUAUUAAAUAGCCGCGGUAUCUUGACCGUGCAAAGGUAGCAUAAUCAUUAGUUUUUUAAUUGAAAACUUGUAUGAAUGGUUGGACAAAGAAGAAGCUGUCUCUCAUAUCAUCAUUGAAUUUAACUUUUAAGUGAAAAGGCUUAAAUGAUCUAGAGGGACGAUAAGACCCUAUAAAGCUUUAUAAAUUUAAAGAUUUUAUAUAUUUUUAUAUAAAAAUAAAUUCCAGAGGAUUUAUUUUGUUGGGGCGACAAUGGUAUAAUGAAAAUAACUGCUAUUAAAAUUAACAAUUAUAUUUGUUUAUGUAAAUAAUUGAUCCUUUAUAAGGAUUUUAAGAUCAAGUUACUUUAGGGAUAACAGCGUUAUUUUUCCUGAGAGUCCUUAUCAAAGGAGAAGUUUGCGACCUCGAUGUUGAAUUAAAAUGUCUUUAUAGUGCAGCAGCUAUAAAAGAAGGUCUGUUCGACCUUUAAUAUUUUACAUGAUUUGAGUUCAGACCGGCGGGAGCCAGGUCGGUUUCUAUCUUCUAGAUAAUAAGUGAGUAUCUUAGUACGAAAGGAUUGGAUAGUCAAAAAUUUUUUUCAGAGUGAAAU